UUCUGUACUAUAUUGG
rnacentral:misc_RNA from 1 species